UUACGGCCACAUCACAUUGAAACACCGGUCCCAAUACGAUCACCGAUGUUAAGCAACGUCGAGCUGGGUCAGUACCGAGAUGAGUGAUCACUUGGAAAUACCAGGUGCUGUAAG